rnacentral:rRNA from 1 species
GGGUUGUGAGGUUAAGCGACUAAGCGUACACGGUGGAUGCCCUGGCAGUCAGAGGCGAUGAAGGACGUGCUAAUCUGCGAUAAGCGUCGGUGAGGUGAUAUGAACCGUUAUAACCGGCGAUUUCCGAAUGGGGAAACCCAGUGUGUUUCGACACACUAUCAUUAACUGAAUCCAUAGGUUAAUGAGGCGAACCGGGGGAACUGAAACAUCUAAGUACCCCGAGGAAAAGAAAUCAACCGAGAUUCCCCCAGUAGCGGCGAGCGAACGGGGAGGAGCCCAGAGCCUGAAUCAGUGUGUGUGUUAGUGGAAGCGUCUGGAAAGGCGUGCGAUACAGGGUGACAGCCCCGUACACAAAAAUGCACAUAUUGUGAGCUCGAUGAGUAGGGCGGGACACGUGGUAUCCUGUCUGAAUAUGGGGGGACCAUCCUCCAAGGCUAAAUACUCCUGACUGACCGAUAGUGAACCAGUACCGUGAGGGAAAGGCGAAAAGAACCCCGGCGAGGGGAGUGAAAAAGAACCUGAAACCGUGUACGUACAAGCAGUGGGAGCCUCUUAAUGGGGUGACUGCGUACCUUUUGUAUAAUGGGUCAGCGACUUAUAUUCUGUAGCAAGGUUAACCGAAUAGGGGAGCCGAAGGGAAACCGAGUCUUAACUGGGCGUUAAGUUGCAGGGUAUAGACCCGAAACCCGGUGAUCUAGCCAUGGGCAGGUUGAAGGUUGGGUAACACUAACUGGAGGACCGAACCGACUAAUGUUGAAAAAUUAGCGGAUGACUUGUGGCUGGGGGUGAAAGGCCAAUCAAACCGGGAGAUAGCUGGUUCUCCCCGAAAGCUAUUUAGGUAGCGCCUCGUGAAUUCAUCUCCGGGGGUAGAGCACUGUUUCGGCAAGGGGGUCAUCCCGACUUACCAACCCGAUGCAAACUGCGAAUACCGGAGAAUGUUAUCACGGGAGACACACGGCGGGUGCUAACGUCCGUCGUGAAGAGGGAAACAACCCAGACCGCCAGCUAAGGUCCCAAAGUCAUGGUUAAGUGGGAAACGAUGUGGGAAGGCCCAGACAGCCAGGAUGUUGGCUUAGAAGCAGCCAUCAUUUAAAGAAAGCGUAAUAGCUCACUGGUCGAGUCGGCCUGCGCGGAAGAUGUAACGGGGCUAAACCAUGCACCGAAGCUGCGGCAGCGACACUAUGUGUUGUUGGGUAGGGGAGCGUUCUGUAAGCCUGUGAAGGUGGCCUGUGAGGGUUGCUGGAGGUAUCAGAAGUGCGAAUGCUGACAUAAGUAACGAUAAAGCGGGUGAAAAGCCCGCUCGCCGGAAGACCAAGGGUUCCUGUCCAACGUUAAUCGGGGCAGGGUGAGUCGACCCCUAAGGCGAGGCCGAAAGGCGUAGUCGAUGGGAAACAGGUUAAUAUUCCUGUACUUGGUGUUACUGCGAAGGGGGGACGGAGAAGGCUAUGUUGGCCGGGCGACGGUUGUCCCGGUUUAAGCGUGUAGGCUGGUUUUCCAGGCAAAUCCGGAAAACCAAGGCUGAGGCGUGAUGACGAAGCACUACGGUGCUGAAGCGACAAAUGCCCUGCUUCCAGGAAAAGCCUCUAAGCAUCAGGUAACAUCAAAUCGUACCCCAAACCGACACAGGUGGUCAGGUAGAGAAUACCAAGGCGCUUGAGAGAACUCGGGUGAAGGAACUAGGCAAAAUGGUGCCGUAACUUCGGGAGAAGGCACGCUGAUAUGUAGGUGAAGCGACUUGCUCGUGGAGCUGAAAUCAGUCGAAGAUACCAGCUGGCUGCAACUGUUUAUUAAAAACACAGCACUGUGCAAACACGAAAGUGGACGUAUACGGUGUGACGCCUGCCCGGUGCCGGAAGGUUAAUUGAUGGGGUUAGCGGUAACGCGAAGCUCUUGAUCGAAGCCCCGGUAAACGGCGGCCGUAACUAUAACGGUCCUAAGGUAGCGAAAUUCCUUGUCGGGUAAGUUCCGACCUGCACGAAUGGCGUAAUGAUGGCCAGGCUGUCUCCACCCGAGACUCAGUGAAAUUGAACUCGCUGUGAAGAUGCAGUGUACCCGCGGCAAGACGGAAAGACCCCGUGAACCUUUACUAUAGCUUGACACUGAACAUUGAGCCUUGAUGUGUAGGAUAGGUGGGAGGCUUUGAAGUGUGGACGCCAGUCUGCAUGGAGCCGACCUUGAAAUACCACCCUUUAAUGUUUGAUGUUCUAACGUUGGCCCGUAAUCCGGGUUGCGGACAGUGUCUGGUGGGUAGUUUGACUGGGGCGGUCUCCUCCUAAAGAGUAACGGAGGAGCACGAAGGUUGGCUAAUCCUGGUCGGACAUCAGGAGGUUAGUGCAAUGGCAUAAGCCAGCUUGACUGCGAGCGUGACGGCGCGAGCAGGUGCGAAAGCAGGUCAUAGUGAUCCGGUGGUUCUGAAUGGAAGGGCCAUCGCUCAACGGAUAAAAGGUACUCCGGGGAUAACAGGCUGAUACCGCCCAAGAGUUCAUAUCGACGGCGGUGUUUGGCACCUCGAUGUCGGCUCAUCACAUCCUGGGGCUGAAGUAGGUCCCAAGGGUAUGGCUGUUCGCCAUUUAAAGUGGUACGCGAGCUGGGUUUAGAACGUCGUGAGACAGUUCGGUCCCUAUCUGCCGUGGGCGCUGGAGAACUGAGGGGGGCUGCUCCUAGUACGAGAGGACCGGAGUGGACGCAUCACUGGUGUUCGGGUUGUCAUGCCAAUGGCACUGCCCGGUAGCUAAAUGCGGAAGAGAUAAGUGCUGAAAGCAUCUAAGCACGAAACUUGCCCCGAGAUGAGUUCUAGCGCAGCGAUGCGUUGAGCUAACCGGUACUAAUGAACCGUGAGGCUUAACCCCAU